GAAGGGGCGAGGGGCCCGGCGCACGCGCAGAGCCGCACAGCAUGGCCGCUGCAAGACGUUAGGGGACGGGGAGUGAGGAGCGGUGCUCCUGCGUGCCCACACGGAGACAGUGGGGUCCGCGGGGCCACAUGGUCGUCGGCCGAGCUGAGGGGUGGGCCCUCUGCAGGCGGAAAACGCAGUUGUUCCCUGCAGGAUUAAACCUUUACAAAUCGUGUGUGACCCCCCCCCCCCAGCAGUUCUGCCCGCCCCUCCGGCCCAGAGUUGGGUGUUACAGGUAAAUCGGGAAUUUGUUACCGCUUUCCUUCUCCAUUAUUGUCUCUGAAGGAGCAACUGGGGUCGGCAGGUCGUGGCAGAUGAACACGCUCAAGUAUGUGGCCGGUUUUAAAGUAAGGAAACUGUACUUUUAUAUUCCCACGUCAGAGAAAUGAGGUGUCAGAGGCCACACCUGCGGACAGUGUCCGGAUGUACAAGGGGGGGUGUGUGCUGCCCCGGGCCGGCACCUUGAGCCCCAGCUCGCCCUCAGGGACGGGUCUCCCCAUAGUCCAGGUCUGCUCGUCGUGCCAUCUCCAUAUUCCUCAUCUCUCUGAUGCCCUUUCACGUGCGCCCUCGUUCCUCCAUCGGCACUUUGAGACCUACCUCACGUGGCAUCUCUUUGGACCUGACCCUGGAGAGGACACGGAUCCCUCCUUUGUGGGCAUACUGUGCCCCAGGACUUGGACUUGCACAGCUAGUUGCUGAUGCCAUUCUGUACUGAUUUCCCUUGUGUCUCCCUGCCUCUUUUAAGAUACAGGGUGGACAUUGUGUCUUAUUUACACUUCAGUCUCUCUUAGCACAGUGCCUGGAACUAACAGACACAAGAAACACUUGUUGCCUGACCGGCUGAGUGAAUGCGUGAACACGUGGUUUCCUGAAGUUUCUGCCAUGUUCAGUACAGGAAGAGUGGCAAAGCAGGCAACCACGGAGAAGGAAGAGGGUGUCUCUGUUGUCGAGACAGUCUCCGAGAUGGUAGACACGAGGCAAAGGUGUGACUUGGUUGGUGGUGCUGCUGUAGAAGAGGGGGAUCACUUAAUGAAGAUAUGUGGAGCCAGAAACAGUAUUUGCAUCUUCUUAAAGAUCAGCUCUAUUGAGGAUGUUUUUGAGCAUCGUCUUCUUAUGGAUUCAUGGAGUGACCGCUUUGUUCACCUAAGCUGUCUCGAAUUUUCCAUCACCACUGUCUGCUCACUCUGAUAGCUUUUGGUGAAGAGAAUUCGGAUACUGGCAAGUGAAUGUGGGUGGGUGUCUCAGUCUGGGGUUUCAGUUGCAGACUCUGAUAUGAGGAAUUUUUGAAAGGGUUAUAAAGGGUGUGUUCACUGGGAGACAUGGGAUGGGAGGGGAGG